AGAGGAUCAACGUAGAGUACAAUACAAUGAUUGGGUAAUAUUCUGCUAGAAGAUAAGGAAGGAGAAAACCUCACAGAGACAAACCGAAGAAAUCAAAAAGAUUAUUUGGCCAAAGAAGAAAAAAGAGAAGAGAAGAAAGGUUCGGCUAGAAGAAAAAAGAAAAGGAAAAGAGAAUAAAAUGAGGAUUCGACAAUGGGGAAAAAGAGAGGAAAAAGCAAAAAAGAAAAGAAAAAUGAUCAAUCCCGAGAUGUACUUCUGAAAACUAGGCAAAAAUUUGGCACCAAGACUAAAAAGUGAAGGUCGAAACUCCCCGAAAUCAAAGCAAACUGAGAGAAAACCAAAAAAAAAACCAAAACCGAAAACCUUUAGUGCUAAGUGACUAAAUUCGUCACAAACACCUUCCCCCAACCGAAUUCUCACUGUUUGAAUACCCCAAAUGACACACACUCCCC
rnacentral:lncRNA from 1 species